UGGCUUACCUCCNUCAGUUAUGCGUCAUGACUUGUAUCGUCUUGAGCGUAUUGUGGGUUUCCUGUGUUGCAUACCUAAUAAUGGAAUCGUUUUGGUUGAUUGAAGUCCCUUUUCAUCACGUGUUGCCUUUGCGACGCAUGAUGAACCUCGAAGCGGUCUCUAUGUUCCACCACGUUGAUGCUAGUGUCUUGAUGUUGUGGCCCAUUGAGUGUUGCUUGGUUUCGUGGAUACAGAACAUGAUUUGGGCAUAGGGUCACCUGUGACUCUUGUUUUGUCCUUUAUCAGUGUUCUCUAUAACGACGGUUCAUGCGCGCCUAGGCUCGUACCUGCGCGAUGUUCUUUGUCGAAGAGGAAUGCUACCUGGUUGAUCCUGCCAGUAGUCAUAUGCUUGUCUCAAAGAUUAAGCCAU
rnacentral:misc_RNA from 2 species